UCUCAUAGAUGAGCAAAGAAAGUGGUUUAUUGCAAUGGAAACUACUCCUGAUGAAGAUGCUGUGAA
rnacentral:pre_miRNA from 2 species